CCCUUAGAUGUUCUGGGUCGCACGCGCGCUACACUGACGGAGCCAACGAGUCUUUUCCUUGUCCGGAAGGACUGGGUAAUCUUGUGAAACUUCGUCGUGCUGGGGAUAGAGCAUUGCAAUUAUUGCUCUUCAACGAGGAAUUCCUAGUAAGCGUGAGUCAUCAGCUCGCGUUGAUUACGUCCCUGCCCUUUGUACACACCGCCCGUCGCUACUACCGAUUGAAUGGCUUAGUGAGCCUUUGGGAUUGGCAGCUUGUACCGGCAACGGUAGCAGGCAGCCGAAAACUUAGGCAAACUUGGUCAUUUAGAGGAAGUAAAAGUCGUAACA
rnacentral:rRNA from 1 species